GAUCGCCCGGGUCCGUCUAGUGCUCCUUCCGACCAAAAUCAAAGUUAGGGAUUCGUUCUCCACUACUGUACUAGGAAGCAGCUGAUUCGGCUGAAGCUCUGCAAUCUUCUCUGCAGAGUUACAAAUGUAAACUUUAUAUUCAUGUUAUUUAAUUUUGGAUGUAUAAAUUAUUCUGUUAUCAGAUUA